UGGGGAAUAUUGGACAAUGGGCGAAAGCCUGAUCCAGCCAUGCCGCGUGUGUGAAGAAGGUCUUCGGAUUGUAAAGCACUUUAAGUCGGGAGGAAGGGCUGUAGGCGAAUACCCUGCAGUCUUGACGUUACCGACAGAAUAAGCACCGGCUAACUUCGUGCCAGCAGCCGCGGUAAUACGAAGGGUGCAAGCGUUAAUCGGAAUUACUGGGCGUAAAGCGCGCGUAGGUGGUUUGGUAAGUUGGAUGUGAAAGCCCCGGGCUCAACCUGGGAACUGCAUCCAAACCUGCCUGGCUAGAGUACGGUAGAGGGUGGUGGAAUUUCCUGUGUAGCGGUGAAAUGCGUAGAUAUAGGAAGGAACACCAGUGGCGAAGGCGACCACCUGGACUGAUACUGACACUGAGGUGCGAAAGCGUGGGGAGCAAACAGGAUUAGAUACCCU
rnacentral:rRNA from 1 species